CCGUUCGGACGCGCUACACCGUGCCUUUUUGUUUUCAGAACGGCCGAGUUACUCAUCCGUUCUAUUCUGGACGCCUGGCUCAGCGAUUCCGGAGGGCAGAAGGUGGUUUCUUAGGGGCAUCAAACAGGGUGAGUCUGGUAACUGGGUCGAGCUCGCGGGACUCCCGUCACGGACGAAUUUCGAAAAAAAAUGUUGCCGAACGAAAUUUCACGCUGUUCGACAAGCUCUGCGAACGAAGGAAUCGUGCCACUUCCAGAAGAAUGUGCAGUUCUAUUUCAAGAAAGGUGCAGUUGCACUUUGAGCAAGUGUUGAGAAAAGGAACCUGCGAAGAAAAUAGCGCUGAAGGAUAAUGGAGCUUGUUGACACUGAAACCACCGAAACAAGUCGGAACGACUGGAAUUCUGGACUUCUGAAUUUCCGGAUCUUACAGUUCCGGAUGCUACAAAACUGCGAAAUUAUAGAGAUUCCUGGACAAUCUUCUUCGCCGAAGCUUGCGUUGCGGUACAAAUUGUACGGGAGGCUCGAGUAAAUGCGACUUCGUCAUUGCUACAGAACAAUGUACAUUAUUGCUAAUUAGGGUCAGAUGGUUCCAGCGCGUUGAACAGCGUAAAACUCUCUGCGUUCUUUUACUUUAAAUUCUUUUGGAACACAGCUGUAGCUCAGCUCCGGUUACUAGAUCCGACCCGAAUCGAGGAAAUCUAACAGAGAAAAAUCCUAGAGUCGCAAAAGUUCUAGACGCAAAAUCCGCGAGCUCGCGCGUGUAAUCGCGGGGUCGCGCGGUCGUUUGUUUACCCGUGGCCGGACGUAACGUCGCGUACGCGAAGGAGCACGACAGGUCUCGGGACGACAGAUAGAGCGAGUCCGGCCGGGUUGGGGAGACGGAGGGAGGGUAGAGAAGGUGGAAGGGAGAGUACUAUAGACUCGGUGAAAAAAGCAAAAAAGGGAAAAGGAACCGUCCAAGGCCCGUCGAAUGGUUGAAUCGGCUGUAACCCGCCGCGUAUAGGUAUAGGUGGUUCGUCGGGACCGCUCUCGCGAGCUUUGGAAGCCGGAGUGCGCGCGCAGCUCGAGCGUACAGUAGUCGUGGUCGUCGGAGAGCAGGCGCCCUCGCCGCAUCUCUCCCCGCCUGGUCUUGGCCCGCAGCAAGGCGCACCGUGUGUCGAGCCGAGCCGAGCCGAGCCGAGUCGGUCAAUACUCCGGGCAACGCGGCGGUGAGAGCACACCACGGUCGCCCGCACGAGUGCACGCCUCGCUCGCUCGCUCGCUCGCCCGUUUACUCGCGCGACAGAUUCUCUCUCCCGUACCGUCGCGUCUGCGAGCGCCGAUCAUCCUCGUCCCGGUGAUCUCCGGAUUCGGAGCGCGAACAGACAGAGAGCGAGAGAGAGAGAGAGAGAGAGAGAGAGAGAGAGAGA